rnacentral:rRNA from 1 species
ACGGAAGGCAGCAGUGGGGAAUAUUGCACAAUGGGGGAAACCCUGAUGCAGCAACGCCGCGUGAAGGAAGACGGUCUUCGGAUUGUAAACUUUUGUUCUUAGUGAAGAUAAUGACGGUAGCUAAGGAGGAAGCCACGGCUAACUACGUGCCAGCAGCCGCGGUAAUACGUAGGUGGCAAGCGUUGUCCGGAUUUACUGGGUGUAAGGGGAGCGCAGGCGGGAGAUCAAGUUGGAUGUGAAAUGUCGGGGCUUAACCCCGGAACUGCAUCCAAAACUGAUUUUCUUGAGUGAAGUAGAGGUAGGCGGAAUUCCGAGUGUAGCGGUGAAAUGCGUAGAUAUUCGGAGGAACACCAGUGGCGAAGGCGGCCUACUGGGCUUUAACUGACGCUGAGGCUCGAAAGUGUGGGGAGCAAACAGGAUUAGAUACCCUGGUA